AGUGAACGCUGGCGGCGUGCUUAACACAUGCAAGUCGAACGAGAACGGGAUAUAGCCUGCUGUAUUUGUCAGCUAAGUGGCGCACGGGUGAGUAAUGUAUAGAUAACCUACCCUCUAGAAAGGAAUAACAGUUGGAAACGACUGCUAAUGCCCUAUAUGCCUUUAAUACAUAAGUAUGCAAGGGAAACGCUUUAGUGCUAGAGGAUGGGUCUGUAUGGUAUCAGCUUGUUGGUGAGGUAAUGGCUCACCAAGGCUAUGACGCCUAACUGGUUUGAGAGGAUGAUCAGUCACACUGGAACUGAGACACGGUCCAGACUCCUACGGGAGGCAGCAGUGGGGAAUGUUGCACAAUGGACGAAAGUCUGAUGCAGCAACGCCGCGUGGAGGAUGACACAUUUCGGUGCGUAAACUCCUUUUAUAUAGGAAGAUAAUGACGGUACUAUAUGAAUAAGCACCGGCUAACUCCGUGCCAGCAGCCGCGGUAAUAC
rnacentral:rRNA from 1 species